UCCUACGGGGCGCAGCAGUGGGGGAUAUUGCACAAUGGGGGGAACCCUGAUGCAGCGACGCCGCGUGGGUGAAGGAGCGUUUCGGCGCGUAAAGCCCUGUCAGCAGGGAAGAAAAUGACGGUACCUGAAGAAGAAGCCCCGGCUAACUACGUGCCAGCAGCCGCGGUAAUACGUAGGGGGCAAGCGUUAUCCGGAUUUACUGGGUGUAAAGGGGGCGCAGACGGCGAUGCAAGCCAGGAGUGAAAGCCCGGGGCCCGACCCCAGGACUGCUCUUGGAACUGCGUGGCUGGAGUGCAGGAGGGGCA
rnacentral:rRNA from 1 species